UGAUUAACGGCUGUGGGGGAGA
rnacentral:miRNA from 1 species